UCCGCCCUGAGGCCGCUCCCGCCUGGCCUGCCGGGUAGGGAUCCGGCUUCCGGUGAACUCUCGCUCCUGAGGUCACAGCGUCGUGGCCCUGUGGCUUGGCCUGGCCUGCCAAAGGGCGGGACCCUUAGCAAUGGCACCGCCCGCCUGUUAAAAGCUGCAAAAAGGUCGUUGGUCUUUCUCUCUCUGGCCCGCCGCGUCCAGCCCAGCGCUGCCCACUUGGCCUCCUCCAUGGUUUCUGCAGGUUUUUCUGGGAUCUUGGAUGACCCCACUGUCCUCCUGGGGUUCGCUUGCAGCUCAGAACCCUGCCUUUAAUGAUGCCAGUAAGGGUAACCGAGUAUUUCACUGUGACACAGAUUGUUCGUGAUCUGAACGAGGACAAAGGUUAGACCUUGAUUCUCUUCCACCCUUGUACGCAAGAGGAACGAGCCUGCUUGUCCAGGAUUGAAUACAAUGCCAGUGCUCUAGUUUGAACCCCAUCCGCAUGACCUUUACUCAAGAAAGCGGCUCAGACUGUUAGUGUUCAUGGAGAUAACAUCAAGAAUGAGAGUGAUGCCAUAAGACCAGACAAGGAAAAAUGUACUUAAGGAGCCCCAGCUGUACUUAAGAGAAGGAGGAUUAAAAGAAGAGUUGAGUUUGUACAUUUCAUACCGUGUUCUACAGAUGCCAAGAUUUUUCAUGGAAGUGGCAAGAAAAUGAGUCAACCUCUGCCCACCUCCAUGGGAAUUGCUGGAGGACAGUUAGUUAGGUCUCUGGCUCCCCCAUCACCACCAACUCAGUGUGUCCAGGUUCUUCCUCCCUCUCUUUAACCUCAUCAGGAUCUGAGAGGCCAGGUUCUGCUAAUUCGCCAUAGCUGGCUCAGGGUUCCAGCAUCUUCCACAUCAUCCCCUGGCCCUCGAGCAGCCUCUUCACUUCCUGUGUUCACCUGCCUCCAUGUCCUCCUUGCUGGGAAUCUGUGCGCUCAGCUCUCUGCUCCUUCUCCUCCUCCUCUCCACCUGGCCCCACCACUGCUCCGCCAGCCGCCCUCCUGCGCGGGAUGUCGUUAUGGCAACCGACAGUCAGUGGGCCCGGGAGACACCAGGCUGAGCCAAAACUGGCAGGGAGAGACAUGGCGCAGCAUCUGCGGGGGCCCAUAAGGCCAAAGUGUUGGGCUGGCUCCCUCCUGCAGGGAAAGAGAGGGAGGCAGUGAGAGCACGCCGGUGGUGGUGGAUUACCAGGAACGAUUCCAGACCUGAUGGGUUAGCUGCAAGACGGUCUCCAGCCAGGCCCUGGGCGAGUUCCAUGUGACUUUCUGUUUUGCAUGCCCCAAUCCGGUCUUUUGAAUCAAAAUCUCGGUCCCCAGCCCUAAUCUCACAACCAUUAGAAGAGAGAGAAAUGGAAAUGAUUCUAGAUUCUGUGUAGAAAAGUGCAGGAAGAAAAUAGCAUUUGUCAGCGGUCCCCAACCUUUUUGGCACCAGGGACCAAAUUGUUUUCA